rnacentral:rRNA from 1 species
AGCAGCCGCGGUAAUUCCAGCUCCAAUAGCGUAUAUUAAAGUUGUUGCAGUUAAAAAGCUCGUAGUUGAAUUUCGGGGUUAGUAGGUUGGUCAUGCCUCUGGUAUGUACUGGUCUCACUGAUUCCUCCUUCCUGAUGAACCUUAAUGCCAUUAAUUUGGUGUUUUGGGGAAUUUGGACUGUUACUUUGAAAAAUUAGAGUGUUUAAAGCAAGCUAACGCUUGAAUACAUUAGCAUGGAAUAAUGAAAUAGGACGUUCGAUCCUAUUUUGUUGGUUUCUAGGAUUGACGUAAUGAUUAAUAGGGAUAGUUGGGGGCAUUAGUAUUCAAUUGUCAGAGGUGAAAUUCUUGGAUUUAUUGAAGACUAACUACUGCGAAAGCAUUUGCCAAGGAUGUUUUCAUUAAUCAAGAACGAAAGUUAGGGGAUCGAAGACGAUCAGAUACCGUCGUAGUCCUAACCAUAAACUAUGCGACUAGGGAUCGGAUGAUGUUAAUUUUUAAUGACUCAUUCGGCGCCUUACGG